CCCCAGUUGCUUCGGUUGCAUGCCUUGGCCUGCCUGGCAUAGCAGUUCAAUGAGAAUAUAAGCAGUUAUGUCCCACCAUACACAUUUUAUAAUAAUCGAUAUGAUGAGAUAAGAUGACUCCUAGGAAGAUUCACAGGCGAGGUUAAUGGACCCCAUGGGAUCUUUGAGCACUGCCAUCUUCAUAGGGUUGAUCGUAGUCUAAUUGCAAGACCCCAACAUGAUUAGCCACAGGAACGAAGAUAGCUUGGCACAAAACGGCGUUGUAUUUUUCCAUGGCACAGGGAUCGCAUCAUACUCCACAAGUCAAUGUACUUUCUCUGACUACUCGAAAAAUUUUCAACAAGUUUCAAUUGUAAGUUUGCAGUCUUAAAAUGACGACUUCUGUUACAAACUACGUUAUCACAAACACAUUGGACAUGGCCCAUUAGUAGGGAGACAAGGUGGAACCCAAAUGUUCAAAAUUAUCACCAGAUUCAGUACUUAAACAACAACACAUAUAUACAAAAAUUUUGUCGUGUCUGUUGCAGCAGUCAUCCUUGUGUCAAGUCAAUAUCAGUGUGAGGGUUUCUCAGGUCAAAUGACCGUGAAACUGGCCAAACGUUCAUCGGCGAGGGAGUGAAAUUUUGUGGUAGAUUUAUAGGGAUUGUUGAUUUUGGGGUAGCCGACUUAUCACCAGGCUGGGAUGGAGAGUCUUUAUUAAGUUUGGGGCGCCCAACCUGUUUAUGUUUGCUCUUAGAACCUCCAUGCACAAAACUACAAGCCACCACCUGAACUGGCCCUGCUGAGAUAAGCAUUCCAAUUGCACCACCAAUGACAUGACCAUCAGGACUAGAAAAAGAAGCACUAAUACCACCAGUUCGAUGGCGAGGGCCACCAUCUUCAGCAACCAAGUAAGAACCAGACAAGCAUAGUAUCUCAAAUCGGCCCUCAAAUGUGACAGCAGGCCCUGAAGAUGCUGGCUGACGCAAGGUUACUGAAGAAACUGUACCAGAUCCAGACAAGACGCAAACUGCUCUUGGCCUCUGUUGAGCAAAUGACAGUAUUUUUGCAACAAUAUCCUCCCCUGCUCCAAUCCUAAUCACAUGCGGCGAAAAUGCUAGUCCAGCAGAACUAUUCAUCCAGUCACCAAGAAGAGCCAAUUGCUGCUUCCUCCCAGUCCCAGGUGGCCGCCCUCUGGCCCGUCUAGGGCUCAAUGGAUCCUGCCCUGAGGAGGGUUUAGGCUUUACUGGCAUGGGAGACAAUCCAAGAGAAACUUGCCCAUCCGGAGCAUAUUUCCGGGGCCUUCCUCUCUUCUUCUUCACUGGUUCACCCAUUGGCACCCCAGGGGGCACAGCGAUGUUAAUGCCAUGACCAAAAUUCGCAAUUGAUGGCUCUAUUGAAAAUGCUGGGCCAGAUGAACCUGCCCUGGCAUUGGAUUGAACAACUAGAUUCGGGUUUGACAAGGGUCUGAACCCAGGUGGGGUAUGCAAUGCACCAGUUUGUGAUCCAGACCCAGACGCACCAACCCCACCUCCUCUAUGAAAGUAAUAUGGUGCUGACCCACUAGCUAGAGCCAUAGCUUCUCUUCCAUCCAUGCAUUUACUAUAAGCAACAGUGAGAGAUGAAAACAGCGAAAUUUCACCUUCUUUUUCUUCUCCUCUUCCUUGGUUGGCUAAAGAUUGACCCCUUUAACCCUGAGCUCUAAACUGAACCAUCUGUUAUAGAAAUCAAACAAAGCAUAGAGCCAAAAGGAGAGUUCAUGAAAAGGGUUUUGCAAGGUUUUUUUUCUCUAAACAGAGGAAAAGCUACAAAGACAAGAAGAAUUUCAAAUCUUUUAACUUAAAAACAUUGAGAAUAGAUAAGGAAAAGAAAACACCUUUAGCCCUAAAUCUUCAGAAUAUGAACACGGGAAUUUCAGAAGGGUUUUGCAGGGGUUUUUGUCUUUGAAGAGAGGAUUAAAGCAACCCAACAAGAAAUUCAACCAAAACCCACUAAAAUAAAGGGAGAAAAUGAUGUUAAACUUUAAGCAACUUCACGUUCACCAUCCAACAGAAGAGGUUGUUUUGAGAACAAAUAUGAAGGAAAAUAAAAAACAGAACAGCUACACAAACCUAUAAGCUUAACAACAUAAAACCAUGCAAUAACAAGGAAAAGGGGAAAAACACCCUAGAUUAUUUUCAAAUCUAGGGUUUUGAGAAGAAAAUUGCAGGAGGAGCUGGUAAAGAAAAAAGAAAGUAUAGAAAAGACAAAGCACAAAGAGAGAGAGGAGGAGGAGCAAAUGAAUUGAAAAUAUGCAAAUGUGAGCUUUUGAAUUAAAGGUUCCAAGUAAAGACCUUUCUUUUUGUUUCUUUAUUGUUCAGUAGCCAGGAAGC
rnacentral:misc_RNA from 1 species